CAGGAGUCAAGCAAAUGGAAAAAAAGCCUAUCAGAUGGUUUCCCUGGACCUGGGGGAAGAGAGGAAUUGAUUACUACAGAGACAGCUGAGGACAAGGAAGUGACCUUGCUGAGGUUCAAGCAUCAGAAGAUGGAGUGACUGCAGGCAAGGAGAGGAACAGAGUGGCAAGAGGACAGGAGGGGAGGAGACACUGAACUGACAACAGCUGCACAUUUUGGAUUCAGAACCAUGUGAAGAGUUACCUAUCAAAGCCGUGAGAUGAGGACACUGAGGCACAGA